rnacentral:rRNA from 1 species
UAAUGCCGGAUGCUCCAGUUGAUCGCAUGGUCUUCUGGGAAAGCUUUCGCGGUAUGGGAUGGGGUCGCGUCCUAUCAGCUUGACGGCGGGGUAACGGCCCACCGUGGCUUCGACGGGUAGCCGGCCUGAGAGGGCGACCGGCCACAUUGGGACUGAGAUACGGCCCAGACUCCUACGGGAGGCAGCAGUGGGGAAUAUUGCACAAUGGGCGCAAGCCUGAUGCAGCGACGCCGCGUGAGGGAUGGAGGCCUUCGGGUUGUAAACCUCUUUUAUCGGGGAGCAAGCGAGAGUGAGUUUACCCGUUGAAUAAGCACCGGCUAACUACGUGCCAGCAGCCGCGGUAAUACGUAGGGUGCAAGCGUUAUCCGGAAUUAUUGGGCGUAAAGGGCUCGUAGGCGGUUCGUCGCGUCCGGUGUGAAAGUCCAUCGCUUAACGGUGGAUCCGCGCCGGGUACGGGCGGGCUUGAGUGCGGUAGGGGAGACUGGAAUUCCCGGUGUAACGGUGGAAUGUGUAGAUAUCGGGA